GCCCCAGGUCAGACGUAGGACCGUCCAACCUCGCUCCUAAAGCGGGUGUCGCAGGUUCGAAUCCUGCCGGGGGCAC
rnacentral:tRNA from 1 species